UUUGCAUAUAUAUUACAUCGUAUCUCGGGGAUGGAACUGGAGCAUAAAUACAAAAUAUAUUCAUGUUUUCUGCUCACCUUCUACACAUAGCCCAAGAGUAAUUGCUGUUACAUAGUUACAAACUAUGACCUUUCAAAUAACACUGGAUAUGAAAGGAUCCACUUGUAGACAUUUUAAAAGUUUUAAGAUUUUUUUUUUUUUUAGGCUCCUGGAUGAUCAGACCAGAAAUGUCUUCCUCAAAGUAUGAAAUUCAAAUCCAAGAAAGGCAAAUGUCUACUGUGUGUUACCUCAUCCAACACUGUAUUCCCACAACACAGUCUUGCAAAUCGGUUUUACCUAAGAAAUUUCUGCAGCUUCAAAGCAUUAUCUGUAUACAUUUCUCAAACAUAGAAUACCAAGGAUCAUGCAAAACAAUGGGAAAUGAUUGUAUGAAGAGGUUUAUGUCAUAAAGUGCUCUGUGUACCAGCUUAGUGGCAACGCAAAUAAAGAAGUAUGAGUACGGACACGUGACUCUUGCAGAAAGUCAUUAGGUAAACAUCCAUCCUAUAUUCCAUUUGCUUUUAUGUGUAGUUUGAACAAGAGCGGGACUUUUUCUCAACAUGUCACAGUCAAUAAUAUCGACCAAAAUAACAGAAACAUGAGGAAGUACAAACCUCCGGGUCCAGUUUAAUCCAGAACGUCUUAGAAUUGUGAUCAUUGUAAAUAGUUAUGAAUAUAACCUUAGAAUUGUAUCUAUGAGUAGACCUCUGCUCUAGGUUGAACAAGGUGUUUGUCACAGUGUCCCCAACCACGAAGGGCCUCCUUUGUUACUUUUCCCUCUAGGUUCUCGAUGUCUUCUAAAAGGCUGAAGAGCAACAUAUAUAAUUUGCUUCGUUUUUUAAAAUGCGUUUUUCUAGCUAUCACACUGAUCCCUCCUCCAGCUGUCUAGAACUACCCGAGCGUUGUGAUCAUUGUUAGCUCUAUGUUGGUGUAAAUAUGAUGUAAAUAGGAAGCAAUGAGCACGGUGAGGUACCAAGCAGUGCUUUCUGCUGAAGCCAUUUUGUGAUAUCUCUUACUGUGCGCAUGCGUCACGCUUGCAACCCUUCCUACGUCCGGUAAGGCGGCGCGACCACCUGCUACCCUGCUCUGCCACAAAAACCCACCCAGGAUGUUCAAUAAAUGUAUCAAUAGUCCCUGCAGGUCUCACAUGCAUCAACUGCCCUCCCUCUGGGUUGAAGUGUGCUAGUCAAAAACCACAGGCCACUCUUGCCACAUGGAAAAAGGAAGAAAACAAAACAAAACAAAAAAGCUAAACAAACCCUCUCGGUUCAGCUCUGGUUCCUAAAAGCCAAACAGCCCAGCAGUGAAAGCCUUUGCCUACAAGCCUGACUUACGGCCUCCAGCUCAAGGUUCCUAUCUCUGUGGUUAAAUUUCUUCAGCUACAGGAUGAGGACCCUUUCAGACCUUAAUUUCUGGUCCUCGAAAUUCUAAAGUUGAGAGAGGAGGAACUCUGACUGCCAAGAAUUGUUCCAGUUCCCUUCAGCAAGAAGCAUGUCUUAAGAGAGAAAAAAAAAAGUGGAGGGAUCUUCUGAGUAAGAUAAAUGCUUAGGCUGUUUGUUAUAGGGCCUCCCCCAUUAAAAUAUAAAUCACUAAA